GCGCAGCAGGUGCGAAAACUCCACAAUGCGCGAAAGCGUGAUGGGGUUAACCCGAGUGCCGUCCGAUGAGGAUGGCUUUUCCCCAGUUUAAGGAGCUGGGGGAAUAAAGGGGGGGCAAGUCUGGUGUCAGCCGCCGCGGUAAUACCAGCCCCCUGAGUGGUAGGGACGAUUACUUGGCCUAAAGCGUCCGUAGCCGGCCUAGCAAGUCUUUCGUUAAAUCCGGCGAUUCAAUCGUCGGGCCGCGGAAGAUACUACUAGGCUUGAGGACGGGAGAGGUCGACGGUAGUCCUAGGGUAGGGGUGAAAUCCUAUAAUCCUAGGAGGACCACCAGUGGCGAAGGCUGUUGGCUAGAACACGCCCGACGGUGAGGGAUGAAAGCUGGGGGAGCGAACCGGAUUAGAUACCCGCGUAGUCC
rnacentral:rRNA from 1 species